ACCGCAGACCGCCUUAUCGUCGUCCCGAUGUAUCGGGAGGGAGGAAAGUCCGGACACCACAGAGAAGCAUAGCGGGUAACACCCGUCGGUUUGGUCUUUACGGACUAGAUUAGGACAAGUGCAACAGAAAGUAUGUACAGGUAAUGCUGUAGUGAAACCAGGUAAACUCUAUGCGGUGAAAUAUCAAGUAUAUCAGCAUUUAAGGGCUUCUCGUUCGUUGCUGAAGGGUAGAUAGCUUGAGCUUAUGAGUAAUUGUAAGUCUAGAUAAAUGAUAAGGCUCCGAUUUUUCGGAGACAGAAUCCGGCUUAUAGGUCUGCAUUUUUU
rnacentral:RNase_P_RNA from 1 species